rnacentral:tRNA from 1 species
CGGCGCCGUCGGCCGGCAGCCAGCCCCAGGCGUACAGCGCCUGCCGGGCGAAGUCACGGGCGAGCGGAACGACACCGCUCGCGCCGUC